GCGGCAGUGUAGCAUAGUGGUUAAGGAGCAGGACUUGUGACCGAAAGGUUGCUGGUUCGAUUCCUGACUGGGGCG
rnacentral:tRNA from 1 species